AUCCUCAAGAGUAAGGGUGAAUUCUCCCCAAGAACAAACAAAGGUGUGUGUGUAAUAACCCAAUCCUAAAUUAAUGUUUAAUUAUAAAAAUGUUCAAGUAAAAGAUAAUUUUACCCCGGGAAUAUUUUAAAAGUUUUAAACCAAACUUUUUGUCCAGGAAAGAAUGGCACCACGAUGUUGAUCGCGCCGAGAUGAAACAGUAGACACGUAGUGCCCUCAAAUCGGGGUUGUCACGAAGAAGUUACUAUCAAAAGAAACCCAGUGGUAAAAUCGUAAUUAUUUCAAAAAGGGUUUUUAAAAAUCUGAAAUCUCUCGCUCUCUCUCUCUCUCUCUCUCUCUCUCAUCAAGCCUUCCUCCCUUUACCCAUCUCCUCCAGCUGCUCAGGUUUUGGGCUAUCCCUGCCACCUGCGGCCACCAUUAGAGCCCAGAUCGGUCCCAAAAUUACCUGCCAGUCUCCCCCGCCCUACCCCAUCGUGAGUUCUAG
rnacentral:lncRNA from 1 species